rnacentral:lncRNA from 1 species
UUCUUAGUUUGGGGACUGAAAUAUACCCUCGACUCAAACCUAUAAAUUAUUUUUUGUUUCCAUUUAAAUUAAAUUUAGGAGUUGGUGAAAAAGUUGCGUAAAAUCGAUAUAAAAAUUUUAAGGGGAUUGAAGUAUUCAAUUCAUUUCGAUUCUGAAUAUUAGGAAGCUGUAAGAAAGGAACUUAUACCUGUCACUUGACAGAAAAUCUCUCAAAAAAAUUGGUAGUUCCUAGUUUUCAUUCACGUUUUAAGAAGAUGAACAGCACAUGUUUCUAAUUAUGUCCAGAUGUUUUUUACGUUUCGUUUUAAGCAAAUAUUAUUUGAUAAUAAUAUAUCGCAACAUACGUACAUCAGUUUGUAUGUUGAAUUAGUAUAGAGUCUACCAAUUACCGGGCAGUUGAGCACAAAUUUUUAUGGAUUAGAAUAGGUACAACUAAAACUGAUUUCAUUUUUAUAUAGUUCACUUGUUCUUUAAUGUUAUAUUUUUCUUCUUUCAUGCAUCUUAUGAAUUUGUAGACUGCGAAUGUAUCGAGCUGCUCAAGGAAUUUUCAAGGAUCCUGAUCCUAUUGUCUCACAAAGCUGUGAAGUUGCUCUUUGGAAUCUUGAUUGUCUGGGAACAAACUCGUUAUUUAAGGUAAAUCUUGAUGCAAAAAUAAAAAGAUUUGACUUAUUUUUUGAUGUCAUUGCUCCUUCCUUCACAGGAAAUGAGUUUAUUACGCACAUAUAUAUUCCAAUUCACUCUCGAUUUCUUAAAUGUUUGCCUGUAUUAUUUUGUUUUUUGUUGUGAGUUUUCAGUUUAUGGUUGACACCAGAGCAUUGAAUACAAAGGGAAUCAGCAAAGAAGACUUAGGAUGAUAUGUCAAAGAAGAAAAAGCACUUUUGGUGUGGUUGGAGUAAAAAAUUUAGAAUCUAUUUUUUAUUAUUAUUAUUAUUCAGCACAAGACAUCUGAGUAUCUCAGUUUUUUGGAAUUCUUUAUAUAUACCGUUCUAGUCAUACGAUUAUCAAAAU